rnacentral:rRNA from 1 species
GACGAACGCUGGCGGCGUGCUUAACACAUGCAAGUCGAACGGAAAGGCCCUGCUUUUGUGGGGUGCUCGAGUGGCGAACGGGUGAGUAACACGUGAGUAACCUGCCCUUGACUUUGGGAUAACUUCAGGAAACUGGGGCUAAUACCGGAUAGGAUCUCUUGCUGCAUGGUGGGGGUUGGAAAGUUUCGGCGUUUGGGGAUGGACUCGCGGCUUAUCAGCUUGUUGGUGGGGUAGUGGCUUACCAAGGCUUUGACGGGUAGCCGGCCUGGGAGGGUGACCGGCCACAGUGGGACAGGGAUACGGCCCAGACUCAUACGGGAGGCAGGAGUGGGGAAUAUUGCACAAAGGGCGGAGGGAUGAUGCAGCAACGCCGCGUGCGGGAUGACGGCCUUCGGGUUGUAAACCGCUUUCGACUGUGACGAAGCGUGAGUGACGGUAAUGGGUAAAGAAGCACCGGCUAACUACGU